rnacentral:SRP_RNA from 10 species
GAAGUGCAGUGUUGCCUAUAGUCCCAGCUACUCAGGAGGCUGGGGCAGGAGGAUUGCUUGAAUCUAGGAGUUCUGAGCUGUAGUACUGCACUAUGCACUAAGCAUGUCUGCACUAAGUUCAGCAUCUAUAUGGGACCUCUCCAGAGCAGGAGACCACUCCAUUGCCAAAGGAGGGAUGAAUCGACCCAGGUUGGAAAAAGAGCAGGUCACAACUCCUGUGCUGAUUACGAGAGUAGCUGGAGCCUGCCCAUGAAUAGCCACAGCACUCCAGCCGGGAUAACAUAGCGAGACCCUUUCU